GGGGGCGAAUGGUCUCGACGGAGUGAUUGAGGGGUUCAGGGGCAUAGCGAGGCUCCUCUGUUGCCUCGUAAAUAGUAACAGAGGAAAUACAGCUGCCAACAGCAGCUACGCACUGGCUGCCUAAAGCGGGUAGCCCCUUGCCCGACGAUUUUCACCCGGCGUCGGUGCAGGGUCGAUAAGGGUGAUUAAAGUCGUCAUUGUGUCUCAGGAUGGCGACUGGAUUACAACUGAGACUGGCCUGCUGUUGCCUGUCAAUCGGCGAGACAGCGGGUGAGAAAAAAUAGAUUGACUAACUAUGUAGAACCUGGACUCUGAACACUUCGGACGCGGGUUCGAUUCCCGCCGCCUCCAUUU
rnacentral:tmRNA from 1 species